rnacentral:rRNA from 1 species
ACGGAAGGCAGUAGUGGGGAAUAUUGGGCAAUGGGCGCAAGCCCGACCCAGCAACGCCGCGUGAAGGAUGAAGGUCUCCGGAUUGUAAACUUCUUUGAUCAGGGACGAAUAAAUGACGGUACCUGCAGAACAAGUCACGGCUAACUACGUGCCAGCAGCCGCGGUAAUACGUAGGUGACAAGCGUUAUCCGGAUUUACUGGGUGUAAAGGGCGUGUAGGCGGUUUGGCAAGUCAGAAGUGAAAUUCCCGGGCUUAACUUGGGCGCUGCUUCUGAAACUGCUUUACUUGAGUACUGGAGAGGAUAGUGGAAUUCCUAGUGUAGCGGUAAAAUGCGCAGAUAUUAGGAGGAACACCGGUGGCGAAGGCGGCUAUCUGGACAGUAACUAACGCUGAGGCGCGAAAGCACGGGGAGCAAACAGGCUUAGAUACCCUGGUA